AGGAGGCUUCAGUUCCUCACCACAUGGAGGUCUCCAGAUAGCUUGAAUGUCCUAUUGACAUGGCAGCUGGCUACUUUCAGAGCAAAUGGUCCAAGAAUGUUACAAAUGUCUUUUAUGACUUGGUGUCAGAAGUUACACAUGGCUACUUCCCCAAUAUUCUAUGCAUUAGAAAAGAGUCACUCAGACCAGGCCACUGGGAUAUUAAGCUCCACCUACACAAGGUAAGAGUGUCAAACAUUUUGUGGAUAUUUAAAAACCACCAAAAUACUAAAUGAAAAAGAAGGAGGACUAGGAGGAGGAAAAGGAGAAGAAGGAACAAGAAGAAAGGGAGAAAAGCAGAAAAAAGGAAAGGAAGAAGGGAAGGAAGACUAAAGUAACCCCCUCCAGAUAACUGUGAUCUACCUGUUUAGAAUAUGUAUGCGCAAUUGUUCUUCUAGGACUCAGUUCAGCCCACAGAUGUCUCCACAGCUGCUCUCUAUUCCAAAGGGGAAUUUUUUUCCUUGGAAGCAGUCAUAUUAUGAGCUGACAAUCUGGAUGAUGACAUGACUUACACAAAAUCAUACAGUCAGUCUGAGUAGGUGUCACUACUGGGACUAAAAGGUAGUGAUCUCAAGCCAUCUAACAGAAUUUAAUUUUAAGAUCAAGAAUUACCUGUAUGAUCCAAAGGGCAGUUCCGCAAGGACAACUGCACAGAGACAGAUUCGCCAGUAGAGGCCUCUCUAGAUUUGCCUUCUGAUUACAAACUCAGAAUGUGCCUUGAAUCUGCUGCAGUUAACACAACUACUUGAAAAGAUUCUUGUUGCAUAGGGAAAAAGAUCACUCUUUAAUGCCCUUUUAAGUUCCAUGAUGUUGAUUAAUGUUGCCCUUUACAUUAAUGAUGUUUCAAGUAAAAGAAAACAAAUUUAAAAUGGAUAAAUUCUAUUGAGGAUGCAUUAAUUAGACAGAGACUUUGCCAUAUGCUGUGGCUGGAGGGCUUGCUGGCCUUUCUCUUGUAGUUACCUGUGUAAAAUCCACCCUAUCCUCUACAUGAAUGCCCAAGCUGAAUAGCCAUUUGAAUGAAGGCUUUAGUUUGAUUCGCCAUACAAGGGGUACUGUGUCACUGUGUUUUCUUUCUAGGAGUCACUAAGUGAUUUCUAUAUCUGUUGUCAUGGUGAUAUAGCAAAGCAGGGGAAAAUGGGGGCAACUUCAGGCUUUCUCCUCACCCUCUGGACUAAGAUGUUGUUAGCAAGCCUAUAAAACAUUGGGCUUUAUCUGGGCCUUCUUUUUGUUCUCUGAUUGUCAAUAAAACUCAUUUUAAGGGUAACAAGGACAUCUAAAUGUCAUCUGUCACAGUGUUAGAGAGAUUAAGUUUGUUUAGGGACUUGUGCUGGACAAAGGCCACUAUUUGUUUCGCAGAUACAAAGCAGUGUUGGCUAUCACCACUCUUGAUUUAGAAGGAGGCCCAG
rnacentral:lncRNA from 10 species